rnacentral:rRNA from 1 species
UAGUGACGCAGCUAACGCAAUAAGUAGACCGCCUGGGGAGUACGGCCGCAAGGUUAAAACUCAAAUGAAUUGACGGGGGCCCGCACAAGCGGUGGAGCAUGUGGUUUAAUUNGAUGCAACGCGAAGAACCUUACCUGGUCUUGACAUAUCUAGAAUCCUGCAGAGAUGCGGGAGUGCCUUCGGGAAUUAGAAUACAGGUNNUGCAUGGCNGUCGUCAGCUCGUGUCGUGAGAUGUUGGGUUAAGUCCCGCAACGAGCGCAACCCUUGUCCUUAGUUACCAGCGGUUUGGCCGGGAACUCUAAGGAUACUNCCAGUGACAAACUGGAGGAAGGCGGGGACGACGUCAAGUCAUCAUGGCCCUUACGACCAGGGNUACACACNUGCUACAAUGGUAGGUACAGAGGGCAGNUACACANCGAUGUGAUGNGAAUCUCAAAAAGCNNAUCGUAGUCCAGAUUGGAGUNUGCAACUCGACUCCAUGAAGUANGAAUCGCUAGUAAUCGCGGAUCAGAAUGCCGCGGUGAAUACGUUCCCGGGCCUUGUACACACCGCCCGUCACACCAUGGGAGUUGAUUGCACCAGAAGNGGGUA